UUGGGUGACCAUAGCGUGAGGGUCCCACCCGUUCCCAUACCGAACACGGAAGUUAAGCCUCACUGCCCCGAUGGUACUGCACGGGCGACUGUGUGGGAGAGUAGGACGUUGCC
rnacentral:rRNA from 1 species